GAUGAACGCUAGCGGCGGGCAUAAUACAUGCAAGUCGAACGGGAUAAGUUGUAGCAAUACGACUUUGAGAGUGGCGCACGGGUGCGUAACACGUAUGCAACUUGCCCUUAACAGGGGGAUAGCUUUCGGAAACGAAAAUUAAUACCCCAUAUUAUUACUUAUAUGCAUGUAUGAGUAAUGAAAGCUCCGGCGGUUAAGGAUGGGCAUGCGGCGGAUUAGCUAGUUGGCGAGGUAAAGGCUCACCAAGGCGACGAUCAGUAGGGGGUCUGAGAGGAUGUCCCCCCACACUGGAACUGAGACACGGACCAGACUCCUACGGGAGGCAGCAGUAGGGAAUAUUGGUCAAUGGAGGCCACUCUGAACCAGCCACGCCGCGUGCAGGAUGAAGGCCCUCUGGGUUGUAAACUGCUUUUGUUAGGGAAAAAACCCCUCGAUGCGUUGAGGGUUGAUGGUACCUAAAGAAUAAGGAUCGGCUAACUCCGUGCCAGCCGCCGCGGUAAAAC
rnacentral:rRNA from 1 species